AGAAUGGCGUCCUGACGGGCCUGGUGUGCCUCCAGUGUGCCACCCUGUGCGUGCAAUCUGCUCCAGUGCCCUGCUACUGCACGGGAAGAAAGUUCUUUCCCGUGCUCAGCUGGAACUUCCUGGGACUCCGUUUCUGCCCAUGGCCUCUGGUCCUGUUGCUGGGCACCACCGAGCAGAGCCUGGCUCCAUGCUGUUGGCUCCCUCCCUUCAGAUGCUGAUAGACAUGGAUGAGGUUCCCUCUCAGGCUGCUCCAGACCAAACAGGCCCAGUUCCCUCAGCUGAUGCUGAUGUGCCCUAAAAUCCAUCCAUUCCCUCUCCCAUAGCACCUGAGAAGCUACCCCUGACACAGAGGGCCAGCACCUUGGUUUUAUGAUGCUGGCAGGUGAGUUAAGUGUGUUUUCUGGAGAGAUUUACACACUGUGGCAAGAGCCAACACAGCAGCAGAAGGUUUAAGGAGCAAGAUAACACAGGAUCAAUCCCCCACCACCUGCUCUUCCACAAUUCCCUUCCACUGACAGUCUCACACUUGACCUUUCACUGCAUUUGGUUGUUGGAGAAAGAAUUUUCUGGAUUUGCCAUGAUACACAAAAUUGAUCUUCUAAGAUACACUUUUCCUCUCUUACGUUCUUAUGUGACUUUGAAGAAUAAUGCUUUGUGAGCAAGUUUCCUUAACUGCUCCUUAAAAAUAUGUAUAAACAUACUAUUUCCCUACUCUUCCCAUAGGAUAUAGACAUGACCAGGUAUACAACACUUGAGACCUACUCUAUCACAUUAGUGGGGAAAAAAAAAAACAAAAAAACCACCAAAAACAAAACAAAACCACUAAUGUAAUUCUGAAAUAUAAAUUUUUCACUGUCAAGUUAUUAAAGGCUGAAUACAAAACACCAAA